rnacentral:rRNA from 1 species
CAGCAGCCACGGUAAUACGAAGGGUGCAAGCGUUACUCGGAAUUACUGGGCGUAAAGCGUGUGUAGGUGGUUGUUUAAGUCUGUCGUGAAAGCCCUGGGCUCAACCUGGGAAUUGCGAUGGAUACUGGGCGACUAGAGUGCGGUAGAGGAUAGUGGAAUUUCCGGUGUAGCAGUGAAAUGCGUAGAGAUCGGAAGGAACAUCUGUGGCGAAGGCGACUAUCUGGGCCAACACUGACACUGAGACACGAAAGCGUGGGGAGCAAACGGGAUUAGAUACCCGUGUAGUCCCUGUCUCUUAUAC